rnacentral:rRNA from 1 species
ACGAACGCUGGCGGCGUGCCUAAUACAUGCAAGUCGAGCGGAAUGAUGAAGAAGCUUGCUUCUUCUGAUUUUAGCGGCGGACGGGUGAGUAACACGUGGGCAACCUACCUUGUAGAUUGGGAUAACUCCGGGAAACCGGGGCUAAUACCGAAUAAUCCAUUUUGCUUCAUGGCGAGAUGUUGAAAGACGGUUUCGGCUGUCACUAUAAGAUGGGCCCGCGGCGCAUUAGCUAGUUGGUAGGGUAAUGGCCUACCAAGGCGACGAUGCGUAGCCGACCUGAGAGGGUGAUCGGCCACACUGGGACUGAGACACGGCCCAGACUCCUACGGGAGGCAGCAGUAGGGAAUCUUCCACAAUGGACGAAAGUCUGAUGGAGCAACGCCGCGUGAGUGAAGAAGGUUUUCGGAUCGUAAGACUCUGUCGUAAGGGAAGAACACGUACGAGAGUAACUGCUCGUACCUUGACGGUACCUUAUUAGAAAGCCACGGCUAACUACGUG